rnacentral:rRNA from 1 species
GGUUAAGCGACUAAGCGUACACGGUGGAUGCCCUGGCAGUCAGAGGCGAUGAAGGACGUGCUAAUCUGCGAUAAGCGUCGGUAAGGUGAUAUGAACCGUUAUAACCGGCGAUUUCCGAAUGGGGAAACCCAGUGUGUUUCGACACACUAUCAUUAACUGAAUCCAUAGGUUAAUGAGGCGAACCGGGGGAACUGAAACAUCUAAGUACCCCGAGGAAAAGAAAUCAACCGAGAUUCCCCCAGUAGCGGCGAGCGAACGGGGAGCAGCCCAGAGCCUGAAUCAGUGUGUGUGUUAGUGGAAGCGUCUGGAAAGGCGCGCGAUACAGGGUGACAGCCCCGUACACAAAAAUGCACAUGCUGUGAGCUCGAUGAGUAGGGCGGGACACGUGGUAUCCUGUCUGAAUAUGGGGGGACCAUCCUCCAAGGCUAAAUACUCCUGACUGACCGAUAGUGAACCAGUACCGUGAGGGAAAGGCGAAAAGAACCCCGGCGAGGGGAGUGAAAAAGAACCUGAAACCGUGUACGUACAAGCAGUGGGAGCACGCUUAGGCGUGUGACUGCGUACCUUUUGUAUAAUGGGUCAGCGACUUAUAUUCUGUAGCAAGGUUAACCGAAUAGGGGAGCCGAAGGGAAACCGAGUCUUAACUGGGCGUUAAGUUGCAGGGUAUAGACCCGAAACCCGGUGAUCUAGCCAUGGGCAGGUUGAAGGUUGGGUAACACUAACUGGAGGACCGAACCGACUAAUGUUGAAAAAUUAGCGGAUGACUUGUGGCUGGGGGUGAAAGGCCAAUCAAACCGGGAGAUAGCUGGUUCUCCCCGAAAGCUAUUUAGGUAGCGCCUCGUGAAUUCAUCUCCGGGGGUAGAGCACUGUUUCGGCAAGGGGGUCAUCCCGACUUACCAACCCGAUGCAAACUGCGAAUACCGGAGAAUGUUAUCACGGGAGACACACGGCGGGUGCUAACGUCCGUCGUGAAGAGGGAAACAACCCAGACCGCCAGCUAAGGUCCCAAAGUCAUGGUUAAGUGGGAAACGAUGUGGGAAGGCCCAGACAGCCAGGAUGUUGGCUUAGAAGCAGCCAUCAUUUAAAGAAAGCGUAAUAGCUCACUGGUCGAGUCGGCCUGCGCGGAAGAUGUAACGGGGCUAAACCAUGCACCGAAGCUGCGGCAGCGACGCUGAUGCGUUGUUGGGUAGGGGAGCGUUCUGUAAGCCUGCGAAGGUGUGCUGUGAGG